rnacentral:misc_RNA from 1 species
GAUGAAGAACGUAGCGAAAUGCGAUACGUAAUGUGAAUUGCAGAAUUCAGUGAAUCAUCGAAUCUUUGAACGCAUAUUGCGCUCUCUGGUAUUCCGGAGAGCAUGCUUGUUUGAGUAUCAAUAAACACCUCAACUUCCAUAUCUUUUUUGAAAUGGGAGUUGGACUUGAGUGAUCCCAACGCUUUUCCUCACCGAAAAGUGGCGGGUUACUUGAAAUGCAGGUGCAGCUGGACUUUUCUCUGAGCUAUAAGCAUAUCUAUUUAGUCUGCCUAAAAAACAGAUUAUUACCUUUGCUGCAGCUAACAUAAAGGAGAUUAGUUCUUGUGCUGACUGAUGCAGGAUUCACAAAGACGGCUUCGGCCGACUUUGUAAACUCGAUCUCAAAUCAAGUAAGACUACCCGCUGAACUUAAGCAUAUCAAUAAGCGGAGGA